UCCAUGGGGUGGCUUGGGACGGCUCGCGGCAUGGAGCCUGCGGUGGCCGGCGGUGAGCACAGCAGUGCGACACCGUCUCCCCAUGGUUAUGGUCAACAAGUCCCUUGUGCGGCGAGCAUGAUCGGCAUUGGCCGGCGACUUGGUCGGCAACAUUUCGCGAGGAAAAUCCAUACCGUGGGUAGAAAAAUCCGAAAGAUAAUCUAAUCGCAAAAACGGAAUCGUAACACAAAGAGG
rnacentral:lncRNA from 1 species